rnacentral:rRNA from 1 species
UUAGCCUACGGGGCGCAGCAGUGGGGAAUAUUGCACAAUGGGGGAAACCCUGAUGCAGCGACGCCGCGUGAGCGAAGAAGUAUUUCGGUAUGUAAAGCUCUAUCAGCAGGGAAGAAAAAUCACGGUACCUGAGUAAGAAGCACCGGCUAAAUACGUGCCAGCAGCCGCGGUAAUACGUAUGGUGCAAGCGUUAUCCGGAUUUACUGGGUGUAAAGGGAGCGCAGGCGGUGCGGCCAGUCUGAUGUGAAAGCCCGGGGCUCAACCCCGGGACUGCAUUCGAAACUACCGAACUAGAGCGUCGGAGG